rnacentral:rRNA from 1 species
UACGUAGGGUGCGAGCGUUAAUCGGAAUCAUUGGGCGUAAAGGGCGCGUAGGUGGUUCUGUAUGUCUACCGUGAAAGCAUACAGCUCAACUGUAUUUUGUCGGUAGAAACUGCAGGACUUGAGGCUGGGAGGGGCUGGUGGAAUUCCCUGUGUAGCGGUGAAAUGCGUAGAGAUGGGGGAGAACACUCGUGGCGAAGGCGGCCAGCUAGACCAGUUCUGACACUGAGGCGCGACAGCGUGGGGAGCAAACAGG